UGACCAGAGCAUGCUGAGCUCAAAGGGGCCAAAAUGAUCCUGGGUCUAAGGUGUGAUACAACGGAUGGGUGCUGUCAUCAAGGCCCCAUUGGCUCUGCUCUUGGUUCCUGGAAGCCCUCCAGCUCCACAGUGACAUGGGCUGCUGUCCUCAGGCUCUGUGCCUUGUCCCCUGGAAGCACCAUCAGCCCCUGGCACUUCUGGAAGAUUGAAAAGCCUCCAUCAGCCUCUCUCAUCACAGAGCCUGCCUCUGCUCCUCACUGGCCCUAUUUCCACCUGGAUGGCAUAAUGUAUGCCAGGAAAGCAGGCUCCUACUCUCUGAUGAGUUCUACAAAAAUAAACACAGAAGACUUCCUGAAACACACACAGCUGCCAGGGAAAACUGACUACCCAAGUCAUGGGGCCCAGAGCAAAAGGAAAAGGUGCUGCUCACAAAAGGGCGAUUCCAGCUGGCUUUUCCAUCUUGCCGAAGGUGAAUUAAAGAGAAGAUGGAUCUCUCUCCACUCAGCCCAUGCUAUGGAAAUCCCCACUGUUGGUGGUGGGAUAUAAAUGGUUACAGGGAGCCGGCUGCAUGCAUGUGUUACUUCACAGCGGUUUCUGGAAAUUGCACUACUGGCUGUUGCCCAUGACACUUGCUCACCCCCUGGGAAGUUGGUCAUAGAGUUGAUGUCCUCUGAUCACCAGGCUGUAUUCUGGGAGCUUCUAGCUCUGCCUGCA
rnacentral:lncRNA from 1 species